rnacentral:lncRNA from 1 species
CAACAGUGGAGAUCAUCGACCUGCGCAAAGGUAUGAAGAUUGGAUCUUCGAAUUUAUGAUACUUUUUAAAUCUGAUUUUAUUUUUAGCAUUUUAAUCUUGCAUGUGCUAGAUCCUAAGGUAGCAAUAGAUUAGAUCUAUUAUGUGCAUGAUUGAUUAAAAGAUUUUAAUCAGAUGUAAACUUAUUUUUGCUGCUAGAUUUUUUUUAAAAUUUCAGUAUGCACUAGAAGAUUAGAUUUUUUAAAAUUUCUUUCGAGUGGUAUUAGA